rnacentral:miRNA from 1 species
AAGCCCUUACCAAUAUAUUAGA